rnacentral:rRNA from 1 species
UGGGGAAUAUUGCACAAUGGGGGAAACCCUGAUGCAGCGACGCCGCGUGAGCGAUGAAGGCUUUCGAGUCGUAAAGCUCUGUCCUAUGGGAAGAUAAUGACGGUACCAUAGAAGAAAGCCCCGGCUAAUUACGUGCCAGCAGCCGCGGUAAUACGUAAGGGGCGAGCGUUGUCCGGAAUUAUUGGGCGUAAAGCGCGCGCAGGUGGUUUAGAAAGUCUGAUGUGAAAGCCCACGGCUCAACCGUGGAGGGUCAUUGGAAACUAAUAAACUUGAGUGCAGGAGAGAAAAGUGGAAUUCCUAGUGUAGCGGUGAAAUGCGUAGAGAUUAGGAGGAACACCGGUGGCGAAAGCGGCUUUUUGGCCUGCAACUGACACUGAGGCGCGAAAGCGUGGGGAGCAAACAGG